UGAAUUUUCUUUGUUGGUUUACAAACAAGACUUAGAUAAAUAAAAAAAAAUAGAUAUGAUGAAGAACCCUAUCGACAGUAAAAUCAAAGGUCAAGGUCACAGUUACUACAAAGUAAACUGAAAUUAUAACAUAUAAGGUUCCGUUUAUAUGAUGAUUUUUUUAAUUGUUUCUGAGUGAUUAUAUCAGAUACAUUUGUACAAUUGGAAUUAGGUAAAACUUUUUCAAGAGGUAGAUAGUAGAUAGCAGAAACGAGACAAAGGAUGUUGAUAGUGACGCCAAUAGAUCAAAUGGUAAGGUCACAGUUACAAUUUUUUUAUGAAUUCCUAAAAUUCUUGGUUUCUAGAUAAAACUUCAUAACCUUUUUUUCAGAAAUGUUAAUUUCAGGCAUGUCACUCCCAGACAUUGCAUAUAAGCCUGAGGGGUCCAUCUAGAAGUUGUGUCCACUUCAACAGUGGAUGGAUUCCACCUAUCUAUGCAACAUAUAAGUGUCAUCACGAUCAUUACCAAGAAUCUGGUUGCGCAUGUGCUGCUGAGAAGUUUUUUUAUAAUGUUUGCCCCUCACUAUUUUGAAACAACAGAUAUGUUUUGUUUUGUUAUUCGAUUUUAUUAGGAUACUCCAAUGUGUCAUAUAUUAAUUUUUUGUUACGUCACUUCUAAAUACAUUCAUUAAAAGAGGGACGAAAGAUACCAGAGGGACAGUCAAACUCAUAGAUCGAAAACAAACUGACAACGCCAUGGCCAAAAAUAAAAAGACAAACAGACAAAUAAUAGUACAGAUGACACAACAAAGAAAACCAAAGACUAAGCAACACGAACCCCACCAAAAACUGGGGGUGAUCUCAGGUGCUCCGGAAGGGUAAGCAGAUCCUGCUCCACAUGUGGCAUCCGUCGUGUUGCUUAUGUUAUUACAAAUCCGGUAAAUAGUCUAAUUCGGUAAGUCACAUUCGUGAAAAGGGAGGGUAUUGUAGUUACGACAUAAGGAACAUAUCCGAUAUCAUCUGUGAAACGGUUAUUCCAUAACGGUCAACCAACUCGUGAUGGCGUUCGUAAAAUUUACGAAGGGAUGACUUCAACUUCACCAUUUGGAACUCUUGGUUUAAUAGCUUCCUUGUGAGCAGCAAUCCUCUAUCAAGGAAAUCAUGAUAGGAAACACAAGCCCGGGAAUAUCGUAUCAAUUGGGAGAUAUAUACUCCGUAUGCAGGCGCUGCUGGAAUGUUGCUACAUAGAAAUGGAAAGUUCACAAUUGGGAAGCUGAAAUCAUCUCUUUUGUCGUAAAGUUUUGUUUUCAACCGACCCUCAUUGUCAAUUUCUAGAUGUAAGUCAAGAUAUGAGGCAGACUUAACUGUAUCUGUAGUAUACUUUAUCUCUAGUUCGAUGGGAUAGAUUCGUUCAACAUAGUCACCAAAUUUUGUAUUAUUUUGUAAGAGAACAUCAUCUAUAUAGCGGAACGUAGAGUUAAAGGAUAUUGCUAACUUCUUAUCUUUCUUCCUAAGAAGUUCCUGUAUAAAGUCAGCCUCAUAAUAAUAAAGAAACAAGUCGGCAAGAAUAGGGGCACAAUUGGUUCCCAUUGGAAUUAAAUAUUCCGACAGUCUGUUGAGAAACACGUCCUCCAAACGUAACAAAUAUGUUGUCAAUCAAGAAAUCAAGCAUCUUGAUAAUGUCAGUUUCAGAGAAUUUUUUAAUAUAUGGCUUAUAUCUUUCAAAAUUUGGAAUGUUGGUCAUUUUUACAGGGGGGACCUAUUAUUAAGAGUAAAUAAUCGUUUACCGCUGUUCAGAUAUAUUAAAUUCAUUAAGAUUAAGUUGUAUGAACCCCAAAAGGAGCAAAACCCGAAGCUUCUCUUUACUCUAUAAUAUCCCAAAUUAAUUUCCCUAUAUAUGUGUAACUAUUUGUAAAAUACAAAGUAGCGAGAAUUGAUCACAUGAAGCGUUCACUGUCUAAGCUUUUUUUUUAACUUUAAUCACGAUUUGUUCGAUUUGAGUUGACUUUAAAUAUAACUUGGAGGCAUGUAAAAAAUCUAUACAUAAAUCAACCGUCUAUUUACUCCGUUGAUACUCGUAUUCAAUGAAAAAGUGUACAUCUGUUUGGUAAAGGUAGCACAAUACAAAAGAUAGAUUAUUUUAUCAAAAUUUCACUUUUAACAUUUUAGUAUACUUAUUUUCAUACUUGACCUAUAGAAGAAAUAAUAUAUCCAAUCUGAUUUACUGUUUAUGACUUUUGAUGCUAAUUACUUUUGUAAACAAAUACACGUGUUUGACCAGAGUAGAUAACAACAUAUGGGCAAUCCUUAUAACUGUUUAUCAAUGAGAUAAUUGGACAGUUAUAUGACCAGUGAUCAGUAACACAGAUAACAUUUAUAAAAGAGGACCUUGUGGGAGAUUUUUCAAGUCAGUAAUCUGCAUCAGAAAGGAUGGAUAGCAAGUCAAAAAAAAAAGGAAAAGAGGAAAAAAACCUACAGAGGAUAAACAGUCAAUGCCCUUACAGCGUAAACAUGAUCUGCUGGAAUCUGACAAAGGAUCUUAUUAUAACCAGGCACAACUCCAUGAACAGCUUAAUGAGGAAACUGAAGAACUCUCUGACACAGACAGUAGCACUGAUUUUGGAAAUCAAAGUGUGUCCUUGAGAAAAUUGAAUUCGUCUUCUAUUAUUAGUAGAGAAGAAAAUGAAAAAGAAGAUAGUGACAGUGAUCUAGGUAUGAACAUCGAAUGGAACACUGAAAGCAGACAGUCUGACAAUGAGGAAUCAGAUUCUCAUGAUGAUGAUGAUGAUGAUGAUGAUGAUGAUGAUGAUGAUGAUGAUGAUGAUGAUGAUGAUGAUGAUGAUGAUGAUGAACAAAUUUCUGAAAUUCAUGGCAGAUUGAUUAUGCAUUUGAAAUCUUUGCAAGAAAGUGUCUCUUCAGCAGCAGUGUGUCGGAAAUGUCAUAUUGGAUCACUUAAACUUGAAAACUUGUCGGGUAAACGUGGGUUAUGCUCAAGACUUCAGUGGAAUUGUGAUAACUGUAACCAUACAUGUGAAUUUUAUUCGGAUUCCUAUACUGGAUAUGGAUCUGGUCAUUCUAAGGACAUUAACAGGCUGUCUGUCAUGGCAAUGAGAACCAUUGGGAAAUCUCGAAAUGCUCUGUUGAAGUUUUGUUUUAUCAUGGACUUACCGGCUCCUGUAAAUUAUAAACCUUUUAAAAACACACUGAAGCACUAAAGGAGGCAUCAGAAAAGAUAUGUAGGGAUAAAAUGAUACAAUCAGCUGAAGAAUUGAAAAACAUCAAGAGGGAUUCAUCUGAAUGGGAUGGAGGAGGACCAUGCAAGUGUGCAGUAUCUGUGGAUGGAUCAUGGGCCCAUGUAGGAUACAGCUCGAGGAAUGGAUUUGUUAGUGUUAUAUCUGUUGAUACGGGAAAAGUUCUUGGCUAUGUGACUUUGUCAAAUGAAUGUAAAGGAUGUAAACAAUGGGAACGUGAGAGAAAAACAAACACAAGAUAAUUUCUCUCAUGGUUUGUUGAACAUGACAAGGUGUGCACUCUCAAUCAUGAGGGAUCAGCAAAAACCAUGGAAGCUCAAGGUGCUGUCAUGUUAUUCCGAAGGUCACAAGAUUUGAAUGGAUUACAGUAUACAACAUUUGUUGGUGAUGGGGACAGCUCAGCCUAUGGCAGUGUUGUUGACAGUCAUCCUUAUGGUCCAACCAUUAUUAUACAGAGGAUUGUGUUGGUCACAUACAAGGGCGCAUGGGAAAACAUCUCAAGAGAUUAGUUGACCAAAACAAAGUUUCAGGAACAAGAAAUUACCUACCCCUGAUCCUUUAAGUCCAGUACUAGUUGAAAUGAUCAAACCGGUCUUUGAUAAAUUGUCUUCUCUGCAGUUAUUAAAAGGAGCAGAAAAAUGUUUGACUUAAAACCAGAAUGAGUCAUUACAUCAUGUAAUAUGGAGUUAUCUCUCUAAAGGGGAGUAUCACAGUCCUACUGAAACAAUAUCAGGAGUUGCACUUGCUGUUGGACAUUUCAACGAAGGAAUGGUCAAUUUCAACACCCAGCUAUUUCAUGAAAUUAAUCUCAAAGUUGGAAUAAACAACACAUCAAUAUGGACGGUUAUUGAUGGAACAAGGCUGAGACAUGCAGCAUACAAACACAGUGACAAUGCCAAACAAAGAAGGACAGAUCUGAAAGCAAUAGAGGCUGCAAAACAUGACUUUUUGCAGUAUAAUGAUAGUUAUUCAAAGGAACAAUACUAUAGUAGAGAUGUGCCUGUAAACAAUAGUAAAAACAAAACACGACGGAAAUGCAAGAAAUGUGGGAAUCCCAUGAAAGGACAUAAGAGGGGUUCGUGUGAGCAGGCAACUGUAGAAUAAAACCUUUACUUAUUAUAAAUAUUUAUUGUUUUGUCUAAUCGGUGUUUAUUUGUUCAGGUUUCCGUUAUGUCAUUCUUCCUGCCUACAAUUUCACAGAACUGCACCAUUGACAUUUUGAAGGCAUUCUGUAAUAAAUAAAAUUGGACAAAGUUAAUUUUUAUGAUUUUAUUUAGUUAUUGAAGUUAUUACAAAAGUUUUACCAAACACUAAUUCUAAUGAUCAUUAUCAUUGAUUUGUUUAUCUUAAAAAAUCAUCCUAAAUUUAGAAGAACUAAUUGCCACUGGACGUAAAGCAAACAACAAUCACAAAUUAUUCAUAAAUAAGGACACACCUUUUUUAUUUCUCCUUUCACAUCAAAACGUACUUAUAUGAUCUCAUGUAUUUUAAAACCUCAUUUGGCCAGGCAUAGUGGGCAUUUUCAGGGCCUAUCUAUGCUUCCUGUCAAAAUAAGAAGUUGAUCUAGAAUUCUUGAAGAAAAUUAUAAAUAAAGUUACUAUACAUGUCAUUAUGAUUAUAACACGUCUUAACCUAUUUCAAAUUAUCUAAAGUAAUCUUUUUUUUUACACAAAUGUAGUCCUAUAGUUACGGAAAUUUUUUUUAUAUUUUUUUAUAUUUUUAAAUGGUCUGUAUGAUUUGUAAUAUUUGUUAUAUACAUACCUUCAUAGAAUGUGCCCAGUUACAAUAAAAAAAUCCAACUAGUUUUCCUGUCACCCCUAUUUCUUCUUCUGUGAGAAGUAACAUUAUCUCCAAUGAAUUCUGCAAACUGCUCCCCAUUUAACCUAUGUGAAAUAAUAAAUGACAAUGAUGACUUUCUAAUGCUAUACAUAAACAAAAUUGGUUGAUUGUUGUUUGCUUAACAUCCAGUGGCAAAUAUUUCAUUCAUAUUCAGUACAAUUUGAUAAGCGUUCUGAAGAAAACGUACCUUCAAUAAUGCCAUGUAAAACAAAUAAUUUUUUUCAUGAAACGUUGUAGUUAAUGAGGACAUAAUAUGUAAAGAAAAUUUUUAUCAGUUGACUUUUGUAGAGUCAUGAGUCUUUGAACUUUGGAAUCUGGUGAGAUUUUGUUUGUCCAGUGACAAUGUGGGUGCUUGGGGUAUGUGACCGUGUUCAAAAAGGUUCUUUAACUUGUUUUAAUUUUAAUUUUAUACAAGUGUUAAUAGAUAUGUGUGUGUGUGUGUGUGUUUAUGUUUAUUUUAUGUCUAUUGUGAAAUUUUUGUAGCGAUCCUAUAUUUUUGGAAUUAAAACCAAUAAAAUAUUCUUAUCUUAUCUUACAAAAGGUUUCACCUUUAAAAUAAAUUACAAAUGUAAGUUAUAAUUAUUAAUUCCACAAAAUUGUACAUAUAAAUUGAAAAUUUGAAUAUAUUUAACAAAUUCCCUUUGUGGAUCCUCAAUACAUUGAACCUAUGUAACAUGCAUAACUUACCCACACUCAUUGACUGCUUGUACAAAAGCUCUUCUCUCAUCUUCUUCUAUUAAAUGAUGACUGUGUCUUCUAUUUGGUACUUUUGGCAUUUUUAAUCAAUUUAAUUGUGUGAUUGUGUUUUAUUUUAAAUAGAAUUAUAAAUUAAAUAAAUAAAAUAUUAAGGAAAUAUU